AUUGAACGCUGGCGGCAGGCCUAACACAUGCAAGUCGAACGGUAACAGGAAACAGCUUGCUGUUUCGCUGACGAGUGGCGGACGGGUGAGUAAUGUCUGGGAAACUGCCUGAUGGAGGGGGAUAACUACUGGAAACGGUAGCUAAUACCGCAUAACGUCGCAAGACCAAAGAGGGGGACCUUCGGGCCUCUUGCCAUCGGAUGUGCCCAGAUGGGAUUAGCUAGUAGGUGGGGUAACGGCUCACCUAGGCGACGAUCCCUAGCUGGUCUGAGAGGAUGACCAGCCACACUGGAACUGAGACACGGUCCAGACUCCUACGGGAGGCAGCAGUGGGGAAUACUGCAUAAUGGGCGCAAGCCUGAUGCAGCCAUGCCGCGUGUAUGAAGAAGGCCUUCGGGUUGUAAAGUACUUUCAGCGGGGAGGAAGGGAGUAAAGCUAAUUCCCUUGCUUUUGCCGCUUCCCCCUUACCUUCAGUCGGCUUACUCCGUGCCAGCUUCCCCGUUUUUGAUGGCG
rnacentral:rRNA from 1 species